rnacentral:rRNA from 1 species
CCACUGCUAUCGGGAUAGGACUAAGACAUGCUAGUUGAGCGCUUCCAGCCAACACGGGAGCGCAGCGCACAGCUCAGUAACACGUGGCUAAUCUGCCCUUGGGACCGGAACAACCCCGGGAAACUGGGGAUAAUUCUCGAUAGGUGAAGAACUCUGGAAUGAGUCUUUGCUUAAAAGACGUUUGCGUUAUGCUCGUAAGCGUCGCCCAAGGAUGAGGCCGCGACCGAUCAGGUUGUUGGUGAGGUAAUGGCUCACCAAGCCUUUUACCGGUGCGGGCCGUGAGAGCGGGAGCCCGGAGAUGGGCACUGAGACAAGGGCCCAGGCCCUACGGGGCGCAGCAGUCGCGAAAACUUUGCAAUACACGAAAGUGUGACAGGGCUAUCCCGAGUGCCAUCCGCUGAGGAAGGCUUUUACCCAGUCUAGAACGCUGGGGGAAUAAGGAGAGGGCAAGUCUGGUGUCAGCCGCCGCGGUAAUACCAGCUCUCCGAGUGGUGUGGAUGUUUAUUGGGCCUAAAGCAUCCGUAGCCGGCUGAGUUAGUCCCUUGUUAAAUCCACCGAAUUAAUCGUUGGAUUGCGGGGGAUACUGCUCGGCUAGGGGACGAGAGAGGCAGACGGUAUUUCCGGGGUAGGGGUGAAAUCCUAUAAUCCCGGGAAGACCACCAGUGGCGAAGGCUGUCUGCUAGAACGCGCCCGACGGUGAGGGAUGAAAGCUGGGGGAACGAACCGGAUUAGAUACCCGGGUAGUCCCAGCUGUAAACGAUGCAGGCUAGGUGUUUGGACGGCCACGUGCCGUUCUAGUGCCGCAGGGAAGCUGUUAAGCCUGCCGCCUGGGGAGUACGAUCGCAAGAUUGAAACUUAAAGGAAUUGGCGGGGGAGCACCACAAGGGGUGAAGCUGCGGU